rnacentral:rRNA from 1 species
UACGAAGGGGGCUAGCGUUGCUCGGAAUCACUGGGCGUAAAGCGCACGUAGGCGGCUUACUAAGUCAGGGGUGAAAUCCUGGAGCUCAACUCCAAAACUGCCUUUGAUACUGGUGAGCUUGAGUCCGGAAGAGGUGAGUGGAACUGCGAGUGUAGAGGUGAAAUUCGUAGAUAUUCGCAAGAACACCAGUGGCGAAGGCGGCUCACUGGUCCGGUACUGACGCUGAGGUGCGAAAGCGUGGGGAGCAAACAGG